rnacentral:rRNA from 1 species
AAUGGGUCAGCGACUUAUAUUCUGUAGCAAGGUUAACCGAAUAGGGGAGCCGAAGGGAAACCGAGUCUUAACUGGGCGUUAAGUUGCAGGGUAUAGACCCGAAACCCGGUGAUCUAGCCAUGGGCAGGUUGAAGGUUGGGUAACACUAACUGGAGGACCGAACCGACUAAUGUUGAAAAAUUAGCGGAUGACUUGUGGCUGGGGGUGAAAGGCCAAUCAAACCGGGAGAUAGCUGGUUCUCCCCGAAAGCUAUUUAGGUAGCGCCUCGUGAAUUCAUCUCCGGGGGUAGAGCACUGUUUCGGCAAGGGGGUCAUCCCGACUUACCAACCCGAUGCAAACUGCGAAUACCGGAGAAUGUUAUCACGGGAGACACACGGCGGGUGCUAACGUCCGUCGUGAAGAGGGAAACAACCCAGACCGCCAGCUAAGGUCCCAAAGUCAUGGUUAAGUGGGAAACGAUGUGGGAAGGCCCAGACAGCCAGGAUGUUGGCUUAGAAGCAGCCAUCAUUUAAAGAAAGCGUAAUAGCUCACUGGUCGAGUCGGCCUGCGCGGAAGAUGUAACGGGGCUAAACCAUGCACCGAAGCUGCGGCAGCGACACUAUGUGUUGUUGGGUAGGGGAGCGUUCUGUAAGCCUGUGAAGGUGGCCUGUGAGGGUUGCUGGAGGUAUCAGAAGUGCGAAUGCUGACAUAAGUAACGAUAAAGCGGGUGAAAAGCCCGCUCGCCGGAAGACCAAGGGUUCCUGUCCAACGUUAAUCGGGGCAGGGUGAGUCGACCCCUAAGGCGAGGCCGAAAGGCGUAGUCGAUGGGAAACAGGUUAAUAUUCCUGUACUUGGUGUUACUGCGAAGGGGGGACGGAGAAGGCUAUGUUGGCCGGGCGACGGUUGUCCCGGUUUAAGCGUGUAGGCUGGUUUUCCAGGCAAAUCCGGAAAAUCAAGGCUGAGGCG